UGAGCCUUGAUGUGUAGGAUAGGUGGGAGGCUUUGAAGUGUGGACGCCAGUCUGCAUGGAGCCGACCUUGAAAUACCACCCUUUAAUGUUUGAUGUUCUAACGUGGACCCGUGAUCCGGGUUGCGGACAGUGUCUGGUGGGUAGUUUGACUGGGGCGGUCUCCUCCUAAAGAGUAACGGAGGAGCACGAAGGUUGGCUAAUCCUGGUCGGACAUCAGGAGGUUAGUGCAAUGGCAUAAGCCAGCUUGACUGCGAGCGUGACGGCGCGAGCAGGUGCGAAAGCAGGUCAUAGUGAUCCGGUGGUUCUGAAUGGAAGGGCCAUCGCUCAACGGAUAAAAGGUACUCCGGGGAUAACAGGCUGAUACCGCCCAAGAGUUCAUAUCGACGGCGGUGUUUGGCACCUCGAUGUCGGCUCAUCACAUCCUGGGGCUGAAGUAGGUCCCAAGGGUAUGGCUGUUCGCCAUUUAAAGUGGUACGCGAGCUGGGUUUAGAACGUCGUGAGACAGUUCGGUCCCUAUCUGCCGUGGGCGCUGGAGAACUGAGGGGGGCUGCUCCUAGUACGAGAGGACCGGAGUGGACGCAUCACUGGUGUUCGGGUUGUCAUGCCAAUGGCACUGCCCGGUAGCUAAAUGCGGAAGAGAUAAGUGCUGAAAGCAUCUAAGCACGAAACUUGCCCCGAG
rnacentral:rRNA from 1 species